AUGAGGAUUUGGCUCCAUUUCGUUUUCAUUGUAGCAGCUCUGGGAGGGGUCCGGUCCCAGGUGCAGCUGGUGGAGUCCGGAGGGGAUGUGAAAAAGCCCGGAGACUCUCUCCGCCUCUCCUGCAAAGCGUCCGGCUUCACCUUCGGUGACUACUGGAUGAGCUGGGUCCGGCAGGCUCCUGGCAAGGGCCUGGACUGGGUCGCAACUAUAAGCUAUUGGGCCGGCAGCACUGUGCGUUACGCCGACGCGGUCAAAGGCCGAUUCACCAUCUCCAGAGACAACCCCAACAACCUGCUGUAUCUGCAACUGACCGGCCUGAAGCCCGAGGACACCGCCCGCUAUUACUGUGCGAGACACACAGUGAGGCGAAGCCGGGCUGAGCUCAGACAAAAACCUCCCGUUGCGGUCAGCAGGGAAAGUCCCAGCUGGCCCCCUCCUUCUCCCAGCGAAGUCACUGGAGAAGUUGAGCCCUCAGCGAAGAGCAGUGGGAACGCGGAGUCCGGAGUGCGGAUUAUGGGCCGGACGGUUCUGGCCAAUAAACUAGAAGUGACCUUCCCCGGCAGCCCAUUGGUGAUCCUGUGUGUGUAA